CCCCAUCCACCGUAUAUCCCUCUCUCCCUCGCGACCUCCUCCCGAAAGACUGACGCCGGCGUCAACGCCUCUGCUCUUCCCUUCCCAACGCGAGCUCUCGCUCCCUCCCUCCCUUCUGCGGCACUGAGGUCGCCCUGCUCCCUAGACAGGCCACGAUGGCGCGGGUCAGGCAUGGUGCACGAGCUCAUAGCCGCCAACCAGAACCCUAGCCGCGGGCCGAUGGGGUGGCCGCCCUUCUUCUCACUGGCCAGAUUGCCGAUGGGGUGCAUGCCCUUCUUCUUCACCGAUCAGAUCUACCACGGGAUGGCUGCCCUUCUUCUCCUCUAGCCGGAUCCAUAGCGAGUCGGCUGUCCUUCUUCUCCUCCGGCCAGAUCCACGACAUGGCAGUCAAAUCCACGACCCGGUGGUAGCGGCAACGGCAAUAGAAAGUGUUGGACAGUCUUUGGCUUGAGCUUUUAGAAAGUGGUUCUCCAUAUAACGUGGUGGAUGUGCUUUUGGUUUUUGAGUUCCUAGAAAUACUAGUAUUGUUUUUGGUGUCUGACUUUGUUGGAUUAUUCAAACGGUGUGUAAGACAAAGAUUGUAUGUUAUAUAUGUAUUGACCUCCAUGAUGUGAUGUAUGUGUUUCUAUAUCUCUAUGUGACACUAAGCUUGAAUGCGGAUUUGAUAUAUGCCAAAUGUUUUUUCUAAUUGUAUUUA